rnacentral:rRNA from 1 species
GACGAACGCUGGCGGCGUGCCUAACACAUGCAAGUCGAGCGAGUGAAUCUCCUUCGGGAGUGAAGCUAGCGGCGGACGGGUGAGUAACACGUGGGCAACCUGCCUCACAGAGGGGAAUAGCCUUUCGAAAGGAAGAUUAAUACCGCAUAAGAUUGUAGCUUCGCAUGAAGUAGCAAUUAAAGGAGCAAUCCGCUAUGAGAUGGGCCCGCGGCGCAUUAGCUAGUUGGUGAGGUAACGGCUCACCAAGGCGACGAUGCGUAGCCGACCUGAGAGGGUGAUCGGCCAGAUUGGGACUGAGACACGGCCCAGACUCCUACGGGAGGCAGCAGUGGGGAAUAUUGCACAAGGGGGGAAACCCUGAUGCAGCAACGCCGGGUGAGUGAUGACGGCCUUCGGGUUGUAAAGCUCUGUCUUCAGGGACGAUAAUGACGGUACCUGAGGAGGAAGCCACGGCUAACUACGUGCCAGCCGCCGCGGUAA